CCGUACUUGGCUUUUGUUGAGUUGGAGAAAGCCUUUGACAGAGGAAUUCGAUGAUGACGAUGAUGAAGCAGAUAUUUAUUAUAAAGUUUGAAAGUGAACCAAGAAGGAAUGAAAAUGGAUCAAGAAGUACUGGUAAACAAAGAAUGCAGAAAUAGCUAGUCAGAAAAUAUUGAAUAUCAGAAACCAGUCCUACAAAGAUAAACUAUUAUUUACAGUACAUAAUAAAUUUGAGCAAAUUGGAUCCAUCUGCUAUGCACAAAGGGCUCAAACAUUUACCCAGACUCCAGAAAUUAAUAAAUAGAACUUACAAUGAACUAGUCACUAAAAACUUUUCACUCAUAUUAAGCAACUAUAAAACACAAAUACACAAAAAAAAAUAUAUAUCACUCAUAUUACCUACUUUUGCCUUUCCUUUCCAUGCUGGCAUGGGUUUGAUAGGAGCUGGCCAGGCAGGAGCAUCCAGCAGUGGACAAAUAGGAAAAUGAAAACUUUCUGCUCAUAUUGAGCAAUCGUAAAAAAGAAAUCGCGAAAUGAAAAUCUUACUCAUUUUAAGCAACAGUAUACCUAUUUUGUCCACCCUUGUGUAUUACAUAUUGUAAAGUAAAACAAAUAAACAGAAAAUUCACAUAGAAACAA